GAUGAACGCUAGCUACAGGCUUAACACAUGCAAGUCGAGGGGAAACGACAUCGAAAGCUUGCUUUUGGUGGGCGUCGACCGGCGCACGGGUGAGUAACGCGUAUCCAACCUGCCCACCACUUGGGGGAUAACCUUGCGAAAGUAAGACUAAUACCCAAUGAUAUCUCUAGAAGACAUCUGAAGGAGAUUAAAAGAUUUAUCGGUGAUGGAUGGGGAUGCGUCUGAUUAGCUUGUUGGCGGGGUAACGGCCCACCAAGGCAACGAUCAGUAGCCGGUCUGAGAGGAUGAACGGCCACAUUGGGACUGAGACACGGCCCAGACUCCUACGGGAGGCAGCAGUGGGGAAUCUUCCGCAAUGGACGAAAGUCUGACGGAGCAACGCCGCGUGAACGAUGACGGCCUCGGUUGU
rnacentral:rRNA from 1 species